AGGGAGUAUUGGUACCGGGCAGAGGCUGCGGUCCCACCUCCAAUGCCUCGGGGGUGGCUGCAGCCGCCGGUCCGGGCACAGCGGCCACACGGUGUCACCCGCGUCCCACCGCCGGGCUCCGACAGGGCAGAGCAGCGAUGCUCUCCGGUGAGCGCUCCGGAACAAGGAAGCGCUGCCGGCCUGGAAUCGCAACCCCUUUUUCACGGCGUUUUUGAGAGCUAGGAUGCUGCCAAGUUUUUCCACCUGUUCUUUCCUUCCCCAUCCAUGAGAAAGUCUCCCAGGAGAGGAAUUACCACGGUCCAGUGCAGCCACAAGCAGGUUAAAAAGAAGGAUCCCAGUCCUGCUGCUGAUGGGUCUCCAGACAGCUUGGAUGUAACUUUCCACUUGGAUGUUCACAGUGUUUGGGAUACAGACAUCGUUUGUCCAGAGAAAGGUUUCUUCCAUCAAGCUCAGACACAUCCUGAAAGAAGUGCAUGAAGACUUGCAUGAGUUGGUGAUUGUGGAGACACUAAAAAGGUGAUGCUCACCAUGUCCUCUCCUGUUGGAAGCAGUAGCCUCAAAAUCCGCCCCCUCACCACCAUCCAAAGCCUCAAGCUAAGUAAGAGCAAUGCCAGGGCAGAUGGCUGCACAGCAGGGCUCUCAGCGUCACUGCUCACUCUUCCCCUACAUGCCCUGUCCUGCUCAGCAGUUUUCCCAUGAACUUAUCUGAGCGGCACUCUUUGCUUUGUGCUAUGAAAAUCAAAGAUGAGGUGUCCUGAAUGAAAAGCUCACAGUUACCACGAGGUCUGCCUCUCAAUGCGCUGGGAAUAGAAAUGUGGCAAUCAGACUUUGGGAUGAAAUCAUAUUGGACAUGCUGGCUUAAUCUCUAAAGUAUGAAAUUGUAAGGAAGGAAUUACAGCUAAAAAACAUUUCACAUUUUAGAAAGCUUCUCUGACCCAUGCUGGAUCAGGAGAGAGAAGGAAAAGAGGGUAAAAAAAAAAAAAAACCAACAACCCCAAACCUGUGGAAUUCAAAUGACUGUAGCCAUUUGGGUUAGAAAAAAUCCAUCAUCAAAUAAACAGACUCCUGCACUUGUACUGUGAUGCACGACUGUGUUUGUAAAGGAAAAGGCUGACUUUGGCUUAUUUCAAUUCUCAGGAUCAGGUUAUUUGCUAUUUGCAAAUACUUGGGUGUUAGCUUCAUGUAUCUUAGCCCAGUUCAUCUCACAAUCGUGUUUAUGUUAGAUAUGGUACAGUACUGAGCUAGCUGCUCUUCCAGUACACCUUUAUUUAGCUGGGCCAUCAGAGAGAAGAAACAAUAGCCCAUAGAUAGCCAGCUGCAGAAGAUGAAUUAUAAGCAGAAAAAUAAUCAUCAAGCAAUUUGUGGGUUCCUUGCUGGAAGACAUUUGCAAUUCAAUGAAUAUUAUCUAAUGUACAUCCAAAACCAGAGACUCUCGCUCUUCUAUUCCAUGAGUUGCAAAAAACAGCAACAACAACAAAAAACAACCAAACACCCAAAUUUUAGAAAACUGUAUUAUUCACGUCAUCAUAAAGAGAAAGGAGGACUGGGACAACAGUGGCGAUGAGUACUGCCACACUCGAUGGCACACCUUGAGUUCCGUCAUUAACACAAUAGAAUGGCAGCUCACUGUAGCAAUGUUUGAACUGCAUCUCAACUAGAUGGCA
ensembl:lncRNA